ACUAGCUGUAAAGUUCCGACGAACUUACAAAGCUCGGGGUUCAUAUUAAUCCGUGCUUAGUCGGAGUUUCGUGGGGUGGGGAGGGUGAAGCCAACAGGUGGCCCAAAUAAAAGCUUUGCGGGCUCAUUUGGCGAGUUAGUGACGAAAUUGACUUUUAUUUUCAUGUGAUUUAUCAUGUUUUGGAGAAACCUCGCCCGAAUUCGUUUAUAAGCGUAGUGUUGUGCCACGAUAUAUAACCAUGAUUGUGCAAAAUAUCGACAUCGAUCAUUGGUGAUUAAAUACGUAAGUGGAUGAAUGGAUAACAACUCGAGGUGAUCAGCCUGCAUUGUCCUAACCAAACUUGGAAAUACCAUGUUUCGGUAAAUGACCCCCUACUACCGAG